UAAAUAAAUAAGCUUCUCUUCCCGGUUCUUCCAGGAGUUGGGAAAAGCUGGGUUGAGAGGGCAAAAAUAAAUAAAU
rnacentral:pre_miRNA from 1 species